rnacentral:rRNA from 1 species
AUUGAACGCUGGCGGCAGGCCUAACACAUGCAAGUCGAGCGAGCGGCGGACGGGUGAGUAAUGUAUGGGGACCUGCCUGAUCGAGGGGGAUAACUACUGGAAACGGUGGCUAAUACCGCAUACUAUCGGAUGAACCCAGAUGGGAUUAGCUUGUCGGUGGGGUAAAGGCGCACCAAGGCGACGAUCCCUAGCUGGUCUGAGAGGAUGAUCAGCCACACUGGGACUGAGACACGGCCCAGACUCCUACGGGAGGCAGCAGUGGGGAAUAUUGCACAAUGGGCGCAAGCCUGAUGCAGCCAUGCCGCGUGUAUGAAGAAGGCCUUAGGGUUGUAAAGUACUUUCAGCGGGGAGGCGUUACCCGCAGAAGAAGCACCGGCUAACUCCGUGCCAGCCGCCGCGGUAAUUC